UGAAAAUAAAUUUGAUGGCUUCUGUGGCAGGAGGAGAUACUAAAUAAGAUAGCUAGUGCAUUCUGUUGAUAAAAAAAGAACAGUUCUGCAAAAAUGUCAUAUUGAGUGCAAUGUGACCAUUUUAAUAUCAGCAUUUUUGUGUACUUGGCACAUUAUAAAUAAUUGCAUAUGGUAAUCUGUGCUCCUAUGUGUACCUCAGUGCUGCAGUAGUGCCAUCUAAUGUUCUAAUUAAUCUGCAAUAUCUCCCAAGUCAGGCUUUUAAAAGCAACAAAAAAAAGCUUCCAGGAAUGAUGAGGUUGGCCUUACUCCAGCUGAUACUGUGGCUGUUACUCAAAUAACCUCUUGUCUUUUAUGGCAACAUAAUCAAGUUAAAAAAAUCUGGACAAGAUAUUUGGAGUCAAUCAAGUACUUUAUUUUACUUUAAAAUGCUGAACAGGUGCAAGUGGGAUACAUUCAAAAUGGUCAUUAGGCAAAACUUGCUUUGAGGGAGGUGGAGCCAACAUCUGUGCUUAUUUUCACAGAUACAAAAGAGCAGGCCUCCCAAGGAAAUGUGAGCAGGAUCCAAAUGGAUGAAGCAGCAGGACUGAAUAAAGCAUUCUGAUUUAAGACUUUCUCUGCUUAUACUAAUUAGCAUUUGAAAAAAAAAAAAAGCAUGAUCAAUCUUUUCUUCUCUGGGGGUAGAGAAGGAGGAGUCUGAUUUAAUUAAGAAGGACAUUAACUCCAAGCACCUACCUAAUCAAAUAUUAACUAUAUUCAGAACAAUCAAAUGAUGAUAGUUUUGUAGUGAUUUAAAUGUUUCUCUCUAUAGCUUCCUGGAUCUUUUUUCACAGUACUUCUUAUUUUUACUAAAAAACCUGGUCUUAGUUUAACCUUCAGAUGUUCUGUGUUUUAAUGACUGGCUGAUGGGAACCUCCUGCAAUAGAUAUCUUUAUUACUAUAUUUUAUAUCCUAGAAAUUGAAGAGGAUUUUGUAUAACUGAAGUAGAAACAGUGCUAUGAAUGGUGUAGUGAUGUAUGGUUGGAUGGAACACAGAGGAGAGCCAGGCACAGGUGGAAUUACAUUAAUCCUUGAAAAUCUGCAUAUAGGAGACCAUGUGCUGUCAAGACUGUCAGCACUUCAAGUCACUUUGAAAUUUGCUCACAGUCUUGAAAAGGGGUUCCAGACUUGCAAUGGAACAAAAUGAUGCCAAGCCCAGCUUUGACACAUGCAGGAGUAUCUGGAUGCUCUGGAUUUCUAGGGGGUGCAUUUGAAAACAGUAAAAAUCAUACAUAAACACAACCUGGAAUCAUUUUUCUUUCUUUUUUUUUCUCAGUUCUUUGGGCAAAGAAUUAAGUCCUUGUUUUGGAAGGAUGGGAGGAGGUUUGUUUUUUUUUACUGGUUAAAAACUAGGACCAUGCUAUUUACUCAAAUAUAAAUCUGUGUUCCUCAUUCUGUGACUUCUCCCCAAAUCAACUCUAAAUCCUUUCCUUACUGGAGGGUCAUCUUCUCACUUUUUGUGAGAUGGAAGGGUUGGUUAAUCCCAGAUUUCUUUAGAGGCAUAAGUCCUCACCUUCAUCUAUAUUGUUGGAGAAAUGGACUGUCGAAAACCUCAUGCAUUGAGAGGGAAGUGCAAAGUCCUGUAGCUGGAGUGAGACAAUCCUGGGCAUCAUUACAUGCUGGGAAUCACCCAGCUAGAAAGCAGCUUUGCAAAACAAACCUGGUGAGCCAGGCUCUUUCCACUGGUGCC
ensembl:lncRNA